rnacentral:rRNA from 1 species
GUGCCAGCGCCGCGGUAACACGGGGGACGCAAGCGUUAUUCGGAAUUAUUGGGCGUAAAGGGCGUGUAGGCGGUCUUAUCGGUCAGAUGUGAAAGCCCAGGGCUCAACCCUGGACGUGCAUUUGAAACAGUAAGACUUGAGUACUGGAGAGGAAAGCGGAAUUCCUGGUGUAGAGGUGAAAUUCGUAGAUAUCAGGAGGAACACCGAUGGCGAAGGCAGCUUUCUGGACAGAAACUGACGCUGAUACACGAAAGCGUGGGUAGCAAACAGGAUUAGAUACCCUGGUAGUCCACGCUGUAAACGAUGAUCACUAGAUGUUGGCCUUGAUUUUUCGAGGUCAGUGUCGCAGCUAACGCGUUAAGUGAUCCGCCUGGGAACUACGGUCGCAAGACUAAAACUCAAAGGAAUUGACGGGGAUCCGCACAAGCGGUGGAACAUGUGGUUUAAUUCGACAAAUACGCGAGGAACCUUUACCUGGGCUUGACAU